rnacentral:rRNA from 1 species
UACGAAGGGGGCUAGCGUUGCUCGGAAUCACUGGGCGUAAAGGGCGCGUAGGCGGCGCAUUUGGUCCGGCGUGAAAUUCCUGGGCUUAACCUGGGGACUGCGCUUGAGACGGGUGUGCUGGAGGGCAGGAGAGGCUCGCGGAAUUCCCGGUGUAGAGGUGAAAUUCGUAGAUAUUGGGAAGAACACCGGUGGCGAAGGCGGCGAGCUGGCCUGUACCUGACGCUGAGGCGCGACAGCGUGGGGAGCAAACAGG